rnacentral:rRNA from 1 species
AGCGUCUGGAAAGGCGCGCGAUACAGGGUGACAGCCCCGUACACAAAAGCGCAUGUGCUGUGAGCUCGAUGAGUAGGGCGGGACACGUGGUAUCCUGUCUGAAUAUGGGGGGACCAUCCUCCAAGGCUAAAUACUCCUGACUGACCGAUAGUGAACCAGUACCGUGAGGGAAAGGCGAAAAGAACCCCGGCGAGGGGAGUGAAAAAGAACCUGAAACCGUGUACGUACAAGCAGUGGGAGCACCCUUUGGGGUGUGACUGCGUACCUUUUGUAUAAUGGGUCAGCGACUUAUAUUCUGUAGCAAGGUUAACCGUAUAGGGGAGCCGGAGGGAAACCGAGUCUUAACCGGGCGUUAAGUUGCAGGGUAUAGACCCGAAACCCGGUGAUCUAGCCAUGGGCAGGUUGAAGGUUGGGUAACACUAACUGGAGGACCGAACCGACUAAUGUUGAAAAAUUAGCGGAUGACCUGUGGCUGGGGGUGAAAGGCCAAUCAAACCGGGAGAUAGCUGGUUCUCCCCGAAAGCUAUUUAGGUAGCGCCUCGUGAAUUCAUCUCCGGGGGUAGAGCACUGUUUCGGCUAGGGGGCCAUCCCGGCUUACCAACCCGAUGCAAACUGCGAAUACCGGAGAAUGUUAUCACGGGAGACACACGGCGGGUGCUAACGUCCGUCGUGAAGAGGGAAACAACCCAGACCGCCAGCUAAGGUCCCAAAGUCAUGGUUAAGUGGGAAACGAUGUGGGAAGGCCCAGACAGCCAGGAUGUUGGCUUAGAAGCAGCCAUCAUUUAAAGAAAGCGUAAUAGCUCACUGGUCGAGUCGGCCUGCGCGGAAGAUGUAACGGGGCUAAACCAUGCACCGAAGCUGCGGCAGCGACGCUGAUGCGUUGUUGGGUAGGGGAGCGUUCUGUAAGCCUGCGAAGGUGGCCUGUGAGGGUUGCUGGAGGUAUCAGAAGUGCGAAUGCUGACAUAAGUAACGAUAAAGCGGGUGAAAAGCCCGCUCGCCGGAAGACCAAGGGUUCCUGUCCAACGUUAAUCGGGGCAGGGUGAGUCGACCCCUAAGGCGAGGCCGAAAGGCGUAGUCGAUGGGAAACGGGUUAAUAUUCCCGUACUUGGUGUUACUGCGAAGGGGGGACGGAGAAGGCUAUGUUGGCCGGGCGACGGUUGUCCCGGUUUAAGCGUGUAGGUGUGUGUUCCAGGUAAAUCCGGUUCACUUUAACACUGAGGCGUGAUGACGAGGCACUACGGUGCUGAAGCAACAAAUGCCCUGCUUCCAGGAAAAGCCUCUAAGCAUCAGGUAACAUCAAAUCGUACCCCAAACCGACACAGGUGGUCAGGUAGAGAAUACCAAGGCGCUUGAGAGAACUCGGGUGAAGGAACUAGGCAAAAUGGUGCCGUAACUUCGGGAGAAGGCACGCUGACACGUAGGUGAAGUGAUUUACUCAUGGAGCUGAAGUCAGUCGAAGAUACCAGCUGGCUGCAACUGUUUAUUAAAAACACAGCACUGUGCAAACACGAAAGUGGACGUAUACGGUGUGACGCCUGCCCGGUGCCGGAAGGUUAAUUGAUGGGGUCAGCGCAAGCGAAGCUCCUGAUCGAAGCCCCGGUAAACGGCGGCCGUAACUAUAACGGUCCUAAGGUAGCGAAAUUCCUUGUCGGGUAAGUUCCGACCUGCACGAAUGGCGUAAUGAUGGCCAGGCUGUCUCCACCCGAGACUCAGUGAAAUUGAACUCGCUGUGAAGAUGCAGUGUACCCGCGGCAAGACGGAAAGACCCCGUGAACCUUUACUAUAGCUUGACACUGAACAUUGAGCCUUGAUGUGUAGGAUAGGUGGGAGGCUUUGAAGUGUGGACGCCAGUCUGCAUGGAGCCGACCUUGAAAUACCACCCUUUAAUGUUUGAUGUUCUAACGUGGACCCGUGAUCCGGGUUGCGGACAGUGUCUGGUGGGUAGUUUGACUGGGGCGGUCUCCUCCUAAAGAGUAACGGAGGAGCACGAAGGUUGGCUAAUCCUGGUCGGACAUCAGGAGGUUAGUGCAAUGGCAUAAGCCAGCUUGACUGCGAGCGUGACGGCGCGAGCAGGUGCGAAAGCAGGUCAUAGUGAUCCGGUGGUUCUGAAUGGAAGGGCCAUCGCUCAACGGAUAAAAGGUACUCCGGGGAUAACAGGCUGAUACCGCCCAAGAGUUCAUAUCGACGGCGGUGUUUGGCACCUCGAUGUCGGCUCAUCACAUCCUGGGGCUGAAGUAGGUCCCAAGGGUAUGGCUGUUCGCCAUUUAAAGUGGUACGCGAGCUGGGUUUAGAACGUCGUGAGACAGUUCGGUCCCUAUCUGCCGUGGGCGCUGGAGAACUGAGGGGGGCUGCUCCUAGUACGAGAGGACCGGAGUGGACGCAUCACUGGUGUUCGGGUUGUCAUGCCAAUGGCACUGCCCGGUAGCUAAAUGCGGAAGAGAUAAGUGCUGAAAGCAUCUAAGCACGAAACUUGCCCCGAGAUGAGUUCUCCCUGAGACUUUAGGUCUCCUGAAGGAACGUUGAAGACGACGACGUUGAUAGGCCGGGUGUGUAAGCGCAGCGAUGCGUUGAGCUAACCGGUACUAAUGAACCGUGAGGCUUAACCUUACA